GACGAACGCUGGCGGCGUGCUUAACACAUGCAAGUCGAACGGAAAGGCCCUGCUUGUGUGGGGUGCUCGAGUGGCGAACGGGUGAGUAACACGUGAGUAACCUGCCCUUGACUUUGGGAUAACUUCAGGAAACUGGGGCUAAUACCGGAUAGGAGCUCCUGCUGCAUGGUGGGGGUUGGAAAGUUUCGGCGGUUGGGGAUGGACUCGCGGCUUAUCAGCUUGUUGGUGGGGUAGUGGCUUACCAAGGCUUUGACGGGUAGCCGGCCUGAGAGGGUGACCGGCCACAUUGGGUCUGAGAUACGGCCCAGACUCCUACGGGAGGCAGAAGUGGGGAAUAUUGCACAAUGGGCGGAAGCCUGAUGCAGCAACGCCGCGUGCGGGAUGACGGCCUUCGGGUUGUAAACCGCUUUCGCCUGUGACGAAGCGUGAGUGACGGUAAUGGGUAAAGAAGCACCGGCUAACUACGUG
rnacentral:rRNA from 1 species